AACUUCCAGGUUGCAGCCUGACUUAAUCAGGCUGGCGGCUGGUGACUUUUGGGUCACCAGCCU
rnacentral:sRNA from 1 species